GCACCGCUGACGAGUCCCAAACAGGACGAAACAAAUACCCGGUGC
rnacentral:hammerhead_ribozyme from 1 species